UACGUAGGCAGCAAGCGUUGUUCGGAAUUACUGGGCGUAAAGAGUGUGUAGGCGGUGCUCUAAGUUCGGUGUGAAAUCUCCCGGCUCAACUGGGAGGGUGCGCCGAAAACUGGAGUGCUGGAGCGCGGGAGAGGAAAGCGGAAUUCCUGGUGUAGCGGUGAAAUGCGUAGAUAUCAGGAAGAACACCGGCGGUGUAGACGGCUUUCUGGACCGUAGCUGACGCUGAGACACGAAAGCGUGGGUAGCAAACAGG
rnacentral:rRNA from 1 species